GACGAACGCUGGCGGCGUGCCUAAUACAUGCAAGUUGAGCGCUGAAGGUUGGUACUUGUCCCAACUGGAUGAGCAGCGAACGGGUGAGUAACGCGUGGGGAAUCUGCCUUUGAGCGGGGGACAACAUUUGGAAACGAAUGCUAAUACCGCAUAAAAACUUUAAACACAAGUUUUAAGUUUGAAAGAUGCAAUUGCAUCACUCAAAGAUGAUCCCGCGUUGUAUUAGCUAGUUGGUGAGGUAAAGGCUCACCAAGGCGAUGAUACAUAGCCGACCUGAGAGGGUGAUCGGCCACAUUGGGACUGAGACACGGCCCAAACUCCUACGGGAGGCAGCAGUAGGGAAUCUUCGGCAAUGGACGAAAGUCUGACCGAGCAACGCCGCGUGAGUGAAGAAGGGUUUCGGAUCGUAAAACUCUGUUGGUAGAGAAGAACGUUGGCGAGAGUGGAAAGCUCAUCAAGUGACGGUAACUACCCAGAAAGGGACGGCUAACUACGUG
rnacentral:rRNA from 1 species